GUCUAUGUAGCAUAGUGGUUAAUGUGCUGGACUGUCAAUCCAGAGAUUAGGGUUCAAUUCCCUCAUAGACU
rnacentral:tRNA from 1 species